AGCUUACUUCCCUCAGUUCUCAGAAAGCCCACCUCCUCUGCGAGCGUUAUUUCAAAAGAAGUUGAGAACCAGAGAAACCGACCUAAGGGGAUUCUCCCAUUUGGCCCGUCCUACCCUAAAGUCACCACCUGCUGCUUUUCUGGAGCGCUUACCAGUGACCAAGAGGAACAGAACACAGAGCAGCCUGGCAGUGUCCAAGCAACAAGCCUCCGCUCCUCCUUCCUGCACCCUGGGGCUCCUGAAACUCACAUGAGAAGGAGGGCUGUCUGAGAUUCGAGGGAAACAAGCUCUCAGGACUUCCGGUCGCCAUGAUGGCUGUGGGCGGUAAACGCGGUUAGUGCAAGCAUCUGGGCCAUCUUCAAUGGUAAAAAAGAUACAGUAAAGACAUAAAUACCACAUUUGACAAAUGGAAAAAAAGGAGUGUCCAGAAAAGAGUAGCAGCAGUGAGGAAGAGCUGCCGAGACGGGACAGUGGAUCCAGUAGGAACAUAGAUGCAUCCAAACUCAUUAGACUACAAGGAUCACGGAAACUGUUGGUUGACAAUAGCAUACGGGAACUGCAAUACACAAAAACUGGAAUUUUUUUUCAGGCUGAGGCCUGUGUGACAAAUGAUACGGUAUACAGGGAGCUACCCUGUGUUUCUGAGACCCUUUGUGACAUCUCACAUUUUUUCCAAGAAGAUGAUGAGACAGAGGCAGAGCCAUUAUUGUUCCGUGCUGUUCCUGAGUGUCAACUAUCUGGGGGGGACAUUCCCAGUGUAUCAGAAGAGCAGGAAUCUUCAGAGGGACAAGAUUCAGGAGACAUUUGCUCAGAAGAGAAUCAAAUAGUUUCCUCUUAUGCUUCUAAAGUCUGUUUUGAGAUCGAAGAAGAUUAUAAAAAUCGUCAGUUUCUGGGGCCUGAAGGAAAUGUGGAUGUUGAGUUGAUUGAUAAGAGCACAAACAGAUACAGCGUUUGGUUCCCCACUGCUGGCUGGUAUCUGUGGUCAGCCACAGGCCUCGGCUUCCUGGUAAGGGAUGAGGUCACAGUGACGAUUGCGUUUGGUUCCUGGAGUCAGCACCUGGCCCUGGACCUGCAGCACCAUGAACAGUGGCUGGUGGGCGGCCCCUUGUUUGAUGUCACUGCAGAGCCAGAGGAGGCUGUCGCCGAAAUCCACCUCCCCCACUUCAUCUCCCUCCAAGCAGGUGAGGUGGACGUCUCCUGGUUUCUCGUUGCCCAUUUUAAGAAUGAAGGGAUGGUCCUGGAGCAUCCAGCCCGGGUGGAGCCUUUCUAUGCUGUCCUGGAAAGCCCCAGCUUCUCUCUGAUGGGCAUCCUGCUGCGGAUCGCCAGUGGGACUCGCCUCUCCAUCCCCAUCACUUCCAACACAUUGAUCUAUUAUCACCCCCACCCCGAAGAUAUUAAGUUCCACUUGUACCUUGUCCCCAGCGACGCCUUGCUAACAAAGGCGAUAGAUGAUGAGGAAGAUCGCUUCCAUGGUGUGCGCCUGCAGACUUCGCCCCCAAUGGAACCCCUGAACUUUGGUUCCAGUUAUAUUGUGUCUAAUUCUGCUAACCUGAAAGUAAUGCCCAAGGAGUUGAAAUUGUCCUACAGGAGCCCUGGAGAAAUUCAGCACUUCUCAAAAUUCUAUGCUGGGCAGAUGAAGGAACCCAUUCAACUUGAGAUUACUGAAAAAAGACAUGGGACUUUGGUGUGGGAUACUGAGGUGAAGCCAGUGGAUCUCCAGCUUGUAGCUGCAUCAGCCCCUCCUCCUUUCUCAGGAGUGAGGAUGUGGCCUGGAUGCUGCCCAAUCUUGCCUAGAACUGGCUGCACCUGCUUGUGCCUUAACCCUUGGUUACCCUAAAUCCCUGUUAUCCAGACUCAUUGGGACUGCUCUAGAUCUUCACUAUCCAAUACGGGUUACUGUGGCAACGCCAACCUUUGAAUCCCCCUCCUGCGCGCUGAGCGGCUCGUAACCAUGGAGACCGAAGCAGGUUUCCCGCGUCCGCCUCCUCACCCAGAGACUGCAGCCCCGGCGCCCAGACCCUUUGGACAAGGAGAUCCAAGCGGGCCCCACAAUGCUCAGCGGGUAAAGAGCUCCUCCCCACUCCUCUCCCGCCAGCAGACGAAGGAAACACCCCGCAGCCUGCACAUGCUCAGAUGGAGCUCUGGGCCCGCGGGUUCUACUGCGCAGGCCCUCACACUCAGCAAAGGGACUUGGACGCGAAAGCGCUGGUGGCGCUCAGCCGGCUGGGAGUUGUAGCUUUCUGGCUGCUACAGCAGGAGAUACAGGUGGCCAAUGGGUGAGCUGGCUGGAGUAUUCAGCACAAGUCUACAUGGCUGACCCCAAUAACAACCCUGGACACCAAGGCCCAAAUGAGGACACCGAGGCACACACGGCUUCAGUUGCUUGCCUGGAGUCACCCAUGCGAUUUGCAAUACCAGGUAAGCAGUGUCAUGUGACUUGCUUUGGCCAAUCAAGUGUGAGUGGGAGGGAGCUGCGGCAUCGCAUCCAAGGAGAAGCCUUCGCAGCCACCGCUGCCAGAUAUGGUAAUUACGUUGGGCUGAAUGCCCAUCCUCCUGGGUCCCAGAAUGACUCAGAUAAACAGUACUCCCCCAACAUCCCGUGGUGGCUGUGUAAGUGAGCAAGAAAUAAAAUUCAAUGAGUUCAGCCACUGAGAUUUGAGGGCUGUUCAUUAUUACAGCAAAACCUAGGCCAUCCUGACUCACACAACCUCAAGACCCUCUAUAACUCGCCCUCUAAUUUUUCCUUUGAGGAGAGAAACAAAUGCGUUUAGUAUGUUGGGACUAUUGCUUAAUUUUCUUUCUUUUUUUUUUUUUUGAGAUGGAGUCUCAAUCUGUCACCCAGGCUGGAGUACAGUGGCAUGAUCUCGGCUCACUGCGACCUCCGCCACCCCAGGUUUAAGUGAUUCUUCUGCCUCAGUCUCCCGAGUAGCUGGGACUACAGGCACCCACGAGCAUGCCUGGCUAAUUUAUGUAUUUUUAGUAGAGACGGGGUUUCACCAUGUUGGCCAAGCUGGUCUCAAACUCUUGACCUCAAGUGAUCCACCCACCUCAGCCUCUCGAAGUGCUGGGAUUACAGGUGUGAGCCACUGCGCCCACCUUCUAUUUUCAUCUUCUUUUUAAGAAUUAAUUAUUUGAAUAUGCAAACAUCCACAUGGUCCUAAAGUCAAAUAAUGUAAAGCGAUACAUAAAAGGUCUUACUCCCACCUCUUUAGUCUAAUCAGUCAGUUUCCAUUCACUAUUCUACCCUCAUCCACAGUUCUUGGUAUUCUUCUAGAGUUUCUUUAUAUGAGUACAAGUAAGCAUACCUAUAAUUCUUAUUUGCUCUAUUUUAUAGAUAAUACAGCAUAUUAUGUACAGUUUUGCAUUUUGCUUUUUUAACUUAAAAAUGUGUUUGAGAGAUCUUUCAAAAUAGUUCCUAGACUUGUUCUUAUUCUUUUUUUUUUGUUUGUUUAGGAUGGAGUCUCACUCUGUCGCCCAGGCUGGAGUGCAGUAGCACGAUCUUGGCUCGCUGCAAGCUACGCCUCCUGAGUUCACACCAUUCUCCUGCCUCAGCCUCCCGAGUAGCUGGGACUACAGGUGCCUGCCACCAUGCCUGGCUAAUUUUUUGUAUUUUUAGUAGUGACAGGGUUUCACCAUGUGAGCCAGGAUGGUCUUGAUCUCCUGACCUUGUGAUCUGCCCGCCUCGGCUUCCCAAAGUUCUCAUUCUUUUUUAGUGCUGUGUAGUAAUCCAUGGAUGGAUAUACCACAAGUUAUGUAACCAUUACCCGUUGGUGGAGUCUGGGUUGUUUCUAAUCUGCUGCUUUCACAAACAACAAUGAUUAACCUUGUAAGUAAGUCCUUCCACAGCUGUGCAACUACAUCUGCAGGAUAAAUCACCAGUAGUGGGAUUGUGAGCCUAAGGGUGAGUGUUCUUGUCAUUUUGAUAGAUAUUGCUAAAUUGCCCUCCACUGAGAUCAUACCAGCUUCCCAUGGAGUAUUCUUUUUUUUUGAGAUGGAGUCUCGCUCUGUCACCCAGGCUGGAGUACAGUGGUGUGAGCUCAGCUCACUGCAAGCUCCGCCUUCCGGGUUCACGCCAUUCUCCUGCCUCAGCCUCCCAAGUAGCUGGGACUACAGGCGCCUGCCACCACACCUGGCUAAUUUUUUGUAUUUUUAGUAGAGACGGGGUUUCACCAUGUUAGCCAGGCUGGUCUCGAUCUCCUGACCUCGUGAUCCACCCGCCUCAGCCUCCCAAAGUGCUGGGCUUACAGGUGUGAGCCAUCACGCCUGGCCCCAUUGAGUAUUCUUAAAAGGGAUACACUUGCAUCAAUGCUCGCCAUUCUCAGAAGGCAAAGCAUACACGUAAGAGAACGCUGCAACGUUUCCGGGCAAGGUCUCUCUUUUCAGGGCUUGCUUGCUGGUUACCCUGGUGCCUGCCACAAGUGAGGGAAUGGAGAUGUGACUGGACCCCAAAGCCCAUCAUCAUCAGGCAGGGCAGGUGAUAAAAGGUGUUAAAGGUUGGGUGCGGUGGCUCACGCCUGUAAUCCCAGCACUUUGGGAGGCCGAGGCAGGCAGAUCACCAGGCCAGGAGAUCGAGACCAUUCUGGCCAACAUGAUGAAACCCCAUCUCUACUAAAACACACACACACAAAAUUAGCCAGGCCUGGUGGCGCACGCCUGUAGUCCCAGCUACUCAAGAGGCUGAGGCACAAGAAUCACCUGAACCUGGGAGAUGGAGGUCGUGCUGAGCCAAGAUUGCGCCACUGCACUCCAGCCUGGGAGACAGAGCGAGACUCCAUCUCAAAAAAAAAAAAAGGUAUUAACACCUCCCUGGGUGAAGUCGCCCCCCAGUCUUGCCCUUAAAUCAUGCCUUGUGGCUUUGGGCGCAUCCUUCUUGUCUGAUCCCCUCCAAAGAUCAAGAGAGCAACCCAACUCAGGAAGUGCAGGCACUUUUUACAAAUAAUCCUUCCUUUGGAAGACUGCUGGGAAGUGGAAAGACUGAUUGUUGCUUGACCUAGGCUUGGGAUGAAAAUUUAAAGCUUGCUGUCUGUCUGUCUAUCUAUCUAUCUAUCUAUCUAUCUAUCUAUCUAUCUAUCUAUCUAUUUAAAGGGUCUCACUCUGUUGUCAAGGCUGGAGUACAGUGGUGUGAUCAUAGCUUACUGCAGCCUGAAGCUCCUGGGCUCAAGCAACCCUCGUGCCUCAGCCUCUUGAGUAGCUGGGACUACAGAUGCAUGCCACCAUGCCUAAUUUUUUUUUUUUUAAUUUUUUGUAGAGACAGGUGCUCGUUAUGUUGGCCAGGCUGGUCUUGAACUCCUGGGCUCAAGUGAUCCUCUCGCUUCGGCCUCCCAAAGUGCUGAGAUUACAGGUGUGAGCCAUCGCACCUAUUAUAUUAUCAAUAUUACAUGUUAUGCGUUACAUAUUAUAAUAUUAAUAUAAUAUAUAAUAUUAUAUUAUAUAAUAUAUAAUAUAUAUAAUAUUAUAUAUAAUAUAUAUAAUAUAAUAUAAUAAUAAUAUAAUAUAUAAUAUAUAUAAUAUAAUAUAAUAUAUUAUAAUAUAAUAUAUAAUAUAUAUAAUAUAUAUAAUUAAUAUAUAAUAUAUAAUAUAUAUAAUAUAAUAUAAUAUAUAAUUAUAAUAUAUAAUUAAUAUAAUAUAUUAAUUAUUACAUUAUACUGUUAUAUUACUACUGUAUUAUUAACAUAAUAAUAUAGAACUCUUUCAUUAGAUUUUAUAAGUGAAAAAAAGGUGAAAUUUCUGUGUAAAAGUGAUGGAUUGAACACCUCUCUAGUUUCACUCUCUCUUGAACCUCAAUUACAUCUUUUUUUUAAAAUGGCUUUUUUUUUUUUUUAAAUCAGAGGCAAUAUGAUAGGGACAGAACUUUGGAAACUGGAAAGCAGCUGGACAUGCUAAUCCCACCCCACCCCUAAAAACCCAUGAAUCCUAAGCCAGCAAUUGAGGGAUGCUGAGAACCGGUAGCAAAGUCCUCAAAAGGAGCUGGCAACACCAGGCCAGUUUUGCAGAAGGCAAAAUAAAGACGAACUGAGGGCUGUUUCAGCAGCAGCUAGACCUCCAAAUCUCGUUUCCCCUCUCCCCUUACUCUUCCCCCACCCCCAGUGACUGGGGGUUUAUUCUGUAGACAGGGUGAAACAGAAAGGGGCCGCUGGCUUUGGGGACAUCUGGCCCAUCUGAAGAUGAGGGAGGGGGAUUCUGAACCCCAAGUGGGUACUGAGUGCGUCUUGCUGGCUGAAUGCCUGACAGCUCCCUGCCUCUGCCCCUGCAGCUCCCAGAAGCUGGCAGCCUGGCCCUGGCAGCCUGGCCUUCACCCCCCGCCAGGAGGCCAGAGGAGUUUUCUCAGGGGGAUUUGACCAGCCCCAGAGGAAGAACGAAAGAUGGUGACAUCUGGCACUCCCCAACGUAUAAAGCAAGAUGCAAAACAGCAUGUACAGGCCGGGUGUGGUGGCCCCGACCUGUAAUCCCAGCACUUCAGGAGGCCAAGUUCCUCAGUGUACUGGACACAUUUCAAGUGCUCAGUAGCCACUUGUGGCUGGGGGUGCAGAAUCACAGAACGUUUCCAUCCUGGAAGAAAGUUCUACUGGGCAGCACUACCCUAGAAGGUAAGCUCUCUGCGGACAGAGACCACGUGGGUCUGGUUUGCUGCUGCAUCCCCAAUGCCUCGGUAAGUACUUAUUGAAUGAAUGAACGGAUGAAUGGAGGAAAGGAGUGAAGGGAUGAGAGGGCGGAUGAAGGCAUGAAUGACCCACGAGUCUUCAGCGCGGCUUUCCCCCGCCCCCUCCCCCGGCCUGCCUCUCUCGAGACCCCACCUUGGCCUCGGGGUCGGUGCGGAAGAGGCCCUCGAGCACGUGCAGGGCGUCCAGGACGCCGUGGUCGCGGCCCUUGCAGUAGGACAGCAGGCGGCGCACGUCGGCUGGGGCCACGAACUGCUUGGAGAUCUUGUUGGUGGUGCGCACCGGCAGGCAGGCGUUGGCCAGCAGGUGGCCCGGGCGGAAGUAGUAGGCGAACUCCAGCGGGCAGGCCGGGUGUGAGUGGGUCAGCUGGCACUCCGUCACCACGAGGCGGUCCCGCAGCGGGCUCAGCUUGACGAUGAUGAAGGCGGGGCAGCCGGGCUGGGGAGGCCUGUGGGAGGAACCACCACCGCCCUGGUCACAUCACUCUGCUGCCCUCUUCUUCCUUUCCACUCACCUUUUUUUUUUUUUUAAACUAAGAAUUGUUUCAGGCAUAGAGAAGAGUAGAGGGCCCUAAGAAUAUGCCAGCUGUGUGACCUGGGGCAAGUCACUUCAAGUCUCUAUGCCUCAGUUUCCUCAUAGGUUACAAGGAAGGUCCUACUCAUCAUACCUUCCUCAUAGGAUCGUCAUGAGCAUGAAAAGAGUUAAUAUAGGUAAAGCACCUACACAGUGUCUGGAAUAUGGCAAGCAGUAAGUGUUCACUAAAAUUCUAUACCUACCACCCUUAGUUCUGUCAAAAGUGAGUGAAUGUUUUAUUGUAUUUACCUUAACUUUUUUUAGAAAUAAAAAAUUUCAGAUAGUCCUGUAUCUGCUUCUGGUUUAGCAAUAACAUCAAAAGUUGAGGCCUUCUGUGAACGCUGCCCUAACAGAUUAUCUUCCUUCCCUCUGUCCCCAGAGGCAGCCACUAUCAAAAUUAUCUAUUAGCAUUCCAUGUAUAUUUUUAUGCACCCAUAAACAAUGGGAGGUAUGUUUCUGUGUGUUAAAAGCAUUGUAUACGUGAAAAAGGACUCAAACUCAUUAGUCAUCAAAGACAUAACAAAUUAAAACCCUAAGGAAAUGCCACUACACAUCAGCAGAAUGGUCAAACAAAAGAGACUGAUAACAUCAAGUGUUGAUGAGGACGUGGAGCAACUGGAACUCUCACCCAUCACUGAUGGGAACGUGAAAUGGCACAAGCACUUUGGAAAACUUCAUGGCAGUAUCUACUAAAGCAAAUUUUAUGUCUCUCCUGUGACCCAGUGGUGCCACUCAAGACAAAUGGGCAUCUAAAGCUGUGUACGAGAAUGUUCAUAGCAGCACUAUGUGUAUUCGCCAAAUACUUGAAACCUAAAUAUCCAACAAUAGAGUGAGAAAAUAAGUUGUGGUAUAUUCCUAAAAUAAAACACUAAUCAGCACCAAGAAUGAACACACCAUUACAACCUCCAACAACACGGAUGAAUCUCACAAACCUACCAAGUGAAAGAAGCCAGACAUGAAAGAGAAACUGAUAUAAUUCCCAUUUAUAUAAAGUUCAACAGCAGGCAAAGUUAACCUCUAUCGUUAGGAGGCUAGAUAGUGGUUACCCUUAAGUGGUUAACCCUGUGAGGGGGCACCAGGAGGUUUCUUGGGACUGGACAUAUUCUGUUUCUUGUUCUGGGUGCUGGUUACCUCUGAUUUUUUUUUUGGGAAAAUUCAUUCAGUUUCACACAUAUGAUGUGUGUACUUUUCUGGAUGUGUGUUACAUUUUUUAAAAGUCUACUUCGAAAAAACUUUGUUUUUGGCCAGGCAUGGUGGCUCACGCCUGUAAUCCCAGCACUUUGGGAGGCUGAGGGGGGACGGAUCACCUGAGAUCAGGAGUUUGAGACCAGCCUGGCCAACAUGGUGAAACCCUGUCUCUACUAAAAAAAUAUAUAUAUAUAUAUAUUAGCCAGGCGUGCUGGCUAAUAAUAGGCUAAUGGGAUUACACCUGUAAUUCCAGCUACUUGGGAGGCUGAGGAAGGAGAAUGGCUUUAACCCGGGAGGCAGAGAUUGCAGUGAGCCGAGAUCGCACUACUGCACUCCAGCCUGGGGUGACAGAGCGAGACCCUGUCUCAAAGCAAAAAAAAAAAAAAAGAAAAAAGAAAAAAAGAAAAAGAAAACUCUUUGUUUCCGAGCAUUGCGGUAGCAAGAAUCAUGGUUCCCCAAAAUAUUCACAUCAUAGUCACUGAAACUGUGCAUAUGCUGCCUUCCAUGGCAAGAGGACCUUUGCGGGUGUGAUGAAAUUAAGGGUCUUGAGAUGGGGAGAGUCUGGAUUACCCAGGUAGGCCCAAAUGUCAUCACAAAGGUUCUUAUAAGGGAAAGAGGGAAGUAAGAGGAUCAAAGUCAGAGAGAGAUUGAAAGAUGCUACCUUCUAGCUUUAAAGAUGGAGGAAGAGCCAGGCACAGUGGCACUUGCUUAUAGUCCCAGUUACUCAGGAGGCUGAGCUGGGAGGAUCAUUUGAGUUCAGCCUGGGCAACAUAGUGAGACUAGUGAGACCCCUACCUCUCAAAAAAAAAAAAAAAAUUGGAAGAAUGGCCUGGCGCGGUGGCUCAUGCCUGUAAUCCCAGAACUCUGGGAGGCCGAGGUGGGCGGAUCACCUGAGGUUGGGAAUUCAAGACCAGCCUGACCAACAUGGAGAAACGCGGUCUCUACUAAAAAUACAAAAUUAGCCAGGCGUGGUGGUGCAUGCCUGUAAUCCCAGCUACUUGGGAGGCUGAGGCAGGAGAAUCGCUUGAACCCAGGAGGCGGACGUUGCGGUGAGCCGAGAUCGCACCACUGCACUCCAGCCUGGGCAACAGGAGCAAAACUCCGUCUAGAAUAAAUAAAUAAAACAAAUGGAGGAAGAGGCUCCAAGCCAAAGAGCAUGGGUGGUCUCUAGAAGCUGGAAGGAUAAGGAAGCAGAUUCUCCUUAGAGCCUCCAGAACACAGCACUGCCAAUGUCUUGAUUUUAGCCCUGAGACCCAUAUUGGCCGCCUGACCUCCAGAACUGUGAGAUAAAUAAAUUGGUAUUGUUUUAAGCCACCA